rnacentral:rRNA from 1 species
AUGGGGUCUCGUGGAAGGAUGUUAUUUGACCUCAAUGAGCUCCCAACAGAAGCUGACGAAGAAGAAGCUGCUGUUGUUGUGUCCCAACCUCAGCUUCCUGUUCCCAAUAUGUAUCCCUCAAAUUUGUUUCCACCACAAGAAGUGCCUUGGUCACAAGGGAUAUUAAACAACCAUGCCUUUAAUCAUGCAUCUUCUGGUUCAGGUUUUCAGCCUUUUGUGAGAAGUACAGAUUCACAAAAUGUAAAGAAUCCUAUGAAUACAGGAGAGAAUUUGGAUGCUACUGCGGCUUCUACAUCUGUGGUAACUAAUCAUUUAUCUGAUAGUGUUAUGUGUCCUACUGGGCCCUCCAAUCAGGUUGCACAAUCAGUUGAAAGAGAAGAGGGAGAGUGGUCUGAUGCAGAUGGUGCUUCUGACACAGCAGGUAGUAGUGUCAGCAACAAGGAAGAAUCUGCUGGUACUGCAAGUACUCAAGUGAAAAGAGAAUCCCAAGAGAGUGGACCUGCUAUUGUUAAAUCUAGUGAUGUGAUUAAAGAUGACAUUGCUCCUGAACCUGGUGACACUGAAAUGUCUGAUGUGUCUAAAGGUCCAGUCCUUCAUGGUCCGACAGGACUAGAGAGCAUGAAAACGUCUGAAUCUAAAGGAAGUCAACCUGUGGAUGAUUUGGACCAGUGCACUAAGUCAAAGGAUGUCAGAGGAGUAGAAGCCAGUUAUGCAUUGAAGUGCACGAACAACCCUGCAAAGAGACCUAAGUUAGAUGAUCACAAAGUUGCAAUGCUUGGUAAAAAGCGAGCGAGGCAGACUGUGUUCAUCAAUGUUGAGGAUGCAAAACAAGCUGGCACAAUGAAGACAAUUACACCGAGGAGACAGUCAUCUUUUCCAGCACCAAUUGUUACACGUACCGUGAAAGAAGCUUCUCGUGGUGUUGGUGAAAGAGCUGCAGACAAGCAGAACCAACCAGUCAUCAGGGAUCAGAGACAAUCUGAGAUGAUUGGUUCAGAAAGAAGUAAUUCUGCAGAUCCUUGUGACCAAAAUGGAGAAUCUAAUGGUGAUUUUGAGUUGGGAUCUCACGGCAGGUCAAAGAAAAUGAAUGCCGAAGAACCCCCCUCAGAUAGUUACCAGCAAUCUGUGCCAAGGCAGGCCUUUUCAAAGCAGCCCACGGAUUCCAAGCAGUUCAAAGGCAGAUCAGUCUCUUCCCAGAGAGCACUUCUAACAGGACAACAUACUGCAGAUCAGAAGCCAGCUAACAAAAGGUCUCUUGUUCCAAAGAAGCAAGCUUCAGUUAAUAACACACAGUAUAAUGACUCAUCUGUCGAACGACUUAUACGGGAAGUGACAAAUGGCAAGUUCUGGCACAAUCCAGAGGAGGAAGAACUUCAGUGUGUUCCUGGAAGCUUUGAUUCUGCCGAGGAGUACAUUAGAGUUUUUGAGCCUUUGCUUUUUGAGGAAUGCAGAGCUCAGCUAUACAGUUCCUACGAGGAGAGUCUCGAGGCUGUAUCAAGGGAUGCACAUGUAAUGGUGCGCGUGAAAAGUGUGGAUAGGCGUGAAAGAGGAUGGUAUGAUGUUAUUGUUUUGCCAACACAUGAAUAUAAAUGGACUUUUAAAGAAGGAGAAGUUGCAAUUUUGUCGUCCCCCCGGCCUGGUUCAGCUGCCCAAUCAAGUAGAUCUAAUAGGAAGACCGCUGCUUCAAAUGAAGACGCUGAAGCUGACUGUGGACGGCUUGUAGGUACAGUCAGACGCCAUAUGCCUAUUGAUACGCGUGAUCCCAUUGGAGCAAUUAUCCAUUUUUAUUCUGGGGAUUCAUUUGAUUGUAGCAGCGAGACUAAUGUUCUGAGGAAACUGCAACCUCGAAGCACCUGGUAUCUAACGGGUCUUGGUUCCCUUGCAACAACACAAAGGGAAUAUGUAGCAUUGCAUGCAUUCCGCCGUCUUAAUGUGCAGAUGCAAAACGCAAUUCUUCAGCCAAGUCCAGAGCACUUCCCAAAAUAUCAAGAGCAGCCGCCUGCUAUGCCUGACUGUUUCACUCCAAGUUUUUCUGAUCAUAUCAAUCGUACUUUCAAUGGGCCUCAGCUAUCGGCGAUUCAUUGGGCUGCAAUGCACACAGCUGCUGGCACAAGCAAUGGAGUGGUCAAGAAACAAGAACCAUGGCCUUUCACAUUAGUACAAGGUCCUCCGGGGACAGGGAAAACCCAUACCGUGUGGGGAAUGUUAAAUGUUAUUCAUCUUGUUCAGUAUCAACAUUACUAUGCUGCUCUGCUAAAGAAACUUGCUCCUGAAAGUUACAAGCAAGUUGGUAGUACCACUAACAGCAGCUCAGAGGCUUUUGCUGCUGGGUCUAUUGAUGAAGUUUUGCAGAGCAUGGAUCAGAACCUUUUCCGCACUCUUCCCAAGCUUUGCCCCAAACCACGGAUGCUUGUGUGUGCCCCAUCAAAUGCUGCAACAGAUGAGCUGCUUUCUCGUGUUCUUGACCGAGGUUUCAUAGACGGUGAGAUGAAGGUUUACCGCCCUGAUGUUGCCCGUGUUGGAGUUGACACACAGUCUCGUGCUGCCCAAGCUGUAUCAGUUGAGCGACGGACGGAACAGCUUUUAAUGAAGGGCCGUGAUGAAGUAAUUGGGUGGUUGCAGCAGCUAAAAGGCCGUGAGCAGCAGUUAUCACAGGAGAUAGGGCUUCUACAGAGGGAACUUAAUAUCGUUGCAGCAGCUGGUAGAUCCCAUGGUUCGGUUGGGGUAGAUCCUGAUGUGCUUGCUCACAGGGAUCGUAACCGUGACAUUCUGCUUCAAAAACUUGCUGCCUCUGUAGAAAGCAGGGAUAAAGUACUUGUAGAGAUGUCAAGGCUGCUGAUAUUAGAAAGCAGGUUCCGUGUUGGUAGCAACUUCAAUCUGGAAGAUGCUAGGUCUAGUCUGGAAGCCAGUUUCGCCAACGAAGCAGAAAUUGUUUUUACAACAGUGUCAAGCAGCGGGCGCAGGUUAUUUUCUCGCCUUAGUCAUGGUUUUGAUAUGGUUGUUAUCGAUGAGGCUGCUCAGGCCAGUGAAGUUGGAGUCCUCCCUCCACUUGCACUUGGUGCCGCUAGAUGUGUCUUGGUAGGUGAUCCACAGCAGCUCCCUGCCACUGUUAUUAGUAAAGCGGCUGGAACUUUACUCUAUAGCAGGAGCCUUUUUGAGAGGUUUCAGCAGGCUGGUUGCCCUACCAUUUUGUUGUCAGUGCAAUAUCGGAUGCAUCCCCAGAUCCGAGAGUUUCCAUCACGAUACUUCUAUCAAGGCCGCCUUACAGACAGUGAAAGUGUUGUCAAACUGCCUGAUGAGUUGUAUUACAAAGAUGCAUUAAUGGCACCUUACAUAUUUUAUGACAUCUCACAUGGUCGUGAGUCUCAUAGAGGUGGAUCAUCUUCAUACCAGAAUGUUCAUGAAGCUCAGUUUGCAUUGCGUUUAUAUGAGCAUCUUCAGAAGCUCGUGAAAGUUAAUGGUGGUAAGAAGGCAUCUGUUGGUAUAAUCACUCCAUAUAAGUUGCAGUUGAAGUGUCUUCAGCGGGAAUUUGAGGAGGUCAUGAAUACUGAGGAAGGGAAAGAUAUCUACAUAAACACAGUAGAUGCUUUUCAAGGCCAGGAGCGUGAUGUGAUUAUCAUGUCAUGCGUGCGUGCUUCAAACCAUGGUGUGGGUUUUGUUGCAGAUAUACGGCGCAUGAAUGUUGCUCUUACUCGAGCUAGGAGAGCUCUAUGGGUUGUUGGUAAUGCCAGUGCUCUCAUGCAGUCAGAGGACUGGGCGGCGCUGGUAGCAGAUGCAAAGGCCAGGAAAUGUUUCAUGGACUUGGAUAGCAUCCCCAAGGACUUUCUGGCCAUGAAGAUCUCUUCCAACACUCCAGGAAGGAAUACUUCAAACAACCUAAGGAACUUGAGGACUGGUGGACCAAGACCGAGGCAUCUGGACAUGCUUCCGGACCCCAGGAUUGGCAUGAGGGCUGAUGAGGAUGAGCGUCCUAACUCUGUUCCAAGAAAUGCUAGUUACCGGAAUUUGGAUGACCUGGGACGAUCUGGUGAUAGAUCUAGGGAAAGUUUGCAGUUUGGAGUGGCCAAGAGGCCGAAUUCAUCCAAUGGUUCUCGGAGAGAAGUCUGA